rnacentral:rRNA from 1 species
ACGAACGCUGGCGGCGUGCUUAACACAUGCAAGUCGAACGGAAAGGCCCUGCUUUUGUGGGGUGCUCGAGUGGCGAACGGGUGAGUAACACGUGAGUAACCUGCCCUUGACUUUGGGAUAACUUCAGGAAACUGGGGCUAAUACCGGAUAGGAGCUCCUGCUGCAUGGUGGGGGUUGGAAAGUUUCGGCGGUUGGGGAUGGACUCGCGGCUUAUCAGCUUGUUGGUGGGGUAGUGGCUUACCAAGGCUUUGACGGGUAGCCGGCCUGAGAGGGUGAGCGGCCACAUUGGGACUGAGAUACGGCCCAGACUCCUACGGGGGGGAGCAGUGGAGAAUAUUGCACAAUGGGCGGAAGCCUGAUGCAGCAACGCCGCGUGCGGGAUGACGGCCUUCGGGUUGGAAACCGCUUUCGCCUGGGACGAAGCGUGAGUGACGGUAAUGUGUAAAGAAGCACCGGCUAACUACGUG